UACGUAGGGCGCGAGCGUUGUCCGGAAUUAUUGGGCGUAAAGAGCUCGUAAGCGGCCUGUUGCGUCUGCUGUGAAAUCCCGGGGCUCAACCUCGGGUCUGCAGUCGAUACGAGCAAACUAGAGUGUUGCAGGGGAGACUGGAAUUCCUGGUGUAGCGGUGAAAUGCGCAGAUAUCAGGAGGAACACCGGUGGCGAAGGCGGGUCUCUGGGCAACAACUGACGCUGGAGGAGCGAAAGCGUGGGGAGCGAACAGG
rnacentral:rRNA from 1 species